UGCAGUCGAGCGGGGAAGCCUAAGGCCUCUUUGGGGUAAGGCUUCCCAGCGGCAAACGGGUGAGUAACACGUGGGUGACCUGCCCCGAAGAGGGGGAUAACCCUGGGAAACUGGGGCUAAUACCCCAUGUGCUUUGUGGGGUUAGAGGACCACAAAGUAAAUGGUAUGGCAAGCCGAAAGGCGCCAUGCCGCUUCGGGAGGGGCCCGCGGCCCAUCAGGUAGUUGGUGGGGUAAUGGCCUACCAAGCCUAUGACGGGUAGCCGGCCUGAGAGGGUGUCCGGCCACACGGGGACUGAGACACGGCCCCGACUCCUACGGGAGGCAGCAGUGGGGAAUCUUGGGCAAUGGGCGAAAGCCUGACCCAGCGACGCCGCGUGGGGGAAGAAGCCCUGCGGGGUGUAAACCCCUUUUCGGGGGGAAGAGGGAGGACGGUACCCCCGGAAUAAGGGCCGGCUAACUACGUGCCAGCAGCCGCGGUAAAACGUAGGGCCCGAGCGUUACCCGGAAUCACUGGGCGUAAAGCGCACGCAGGCGGCCUGGUAAGUCGGGCGUGAAAUCUCCCAGCUCAACUGGGAGGGGCCGUCCGAUACUGCUGGGCUUGAGGGCGGGAGAGGGAGGUGGAAUUCCCCGUGUAACGGUGAAAUGCGU
rnacentral:rRNA from 1 species